rnacentral:rRNA from 1 species
AGGAUGAACGCUGGCGGCGUGCUUAACACAUGCAAGUCGAACGGGAAACUUUUCAUUGAAGCUUCGGCAGAUUUGGUCUGUUUCUAGUGGCGGACGGGUGAGUAACGCGUGGGUAACCUGCCUUAUACAGGGGGAUAACAACCAGAAAUGGUUGCUAAUACCGCAUAAGCGCACAGGACCGCAUGGUCUAGUGUGAAAAACUCCGGUGGUAUAAGAUGGACCCGCGUUGGAUUAGCUAGUUGGCAGGGUAACGGCCUACCAAGGCGACGAUCCAUAGCCGGCCUGAGAGGGUGAACGGCCACAUUGGGACUGAGACACGGCCCAGACUCCUACGGGAGGCAGCAGUGGGGAAUAUUGCACAAUGGGGGAAACCCUGAUGCAGCGACGCCGCGUGAAGGAAGAAGUAUCUCGGUAUGUAAACUUCUAUCAGCAGGGAAGAUAGUGACGGUACCUGACUAAGAAGCCCCGGCUAACUACGUGCCAGCAGCCGCGGUAAUACGUAGGGGGCAAGCGUUAUCCG